CAAUGUGAAGGACAACAAAAGGAUAAAGAUGUUUUUCACUGCAAACAUGAUAAAUGUUUGGCAGCAUCACUUGGAUUAUGGUUAAAGAUAGAAGAAUUUGUUAUACACUUAUAUGGAAUACUAAAUUAAAGAUUUUAAUGUGGCAUAAAUCAGACGUAACGUGAUCAUAAUGAUGAAGAUAAUGAUGAUUUUCCUGAAUACUUUUUCCAACCUUGGAUAUUCUAAAUGGGUUUGGAGGCCCAUGAUGGUCCAAUACACCAAUUUGCCAAUCAAUAGCAUUGACUUAAUGUUAAAUAUUUAUAAGUAUACCUUGAAUUUAAACUAACGUUAUUAUAAUGAGAAAUUCAACAUGUUCCACGGACAACGUUAAAUCGUUUAAAGAGUUAAUUUUCUUUAUUUUAUCUCCCUUUAUACUUAUUUCUUUUUCAUCCAUUCUUAAAAAUUUUAUUUCAUUACAUAUUUAGUUUUACUUUCUGACGAUUUGAAUUUUUCAA